UUUUAGAUUUACAACAAAAUUGAGCAAAAGGCACAGAGAAUUCCUAUAUAACCACUGUCCCCCCACAUGCACAGCCUCUCCCAUUAUCAGGAUUGUUCACCAGAAGAGUACACGUUUUACCAAGGAUGAAUCUACAUCAAGACAGCAAAAUUACCCAAAGUCCACUGUUUACCUUAGAGUUCAUUCGUGGAUUUGGACAAAAGCAUAGAGACUUAUAUUCACCAUCAUAAUAUAUGGAAUAUUUACAUUGCCCUAAAAAUCCUCUAUACUUUGCCUAUUCAUCUCUCCCUUGUCCCCAUCUGGCAACCACUGAUUUUUUUUACUGUCUCCAUAGUUUUGUCUUUUCCAGUAUGACACAUCAUUGGAAUCAUAAGGUGUAGCCUUUUCAGAUUGGCUUCUUUCACUUAGUAGUAUUAAGUUUCCUCCAUGUCUUUUUAUAGCUUGAUAGCACAGUUCUUUUCAGUGCUAAAUAAUAUUCCAUCAUCUGAAUGUACCACUGUUUAUUAAUCCACUUGUCUACCAAGUUGCUUCUAAGUUUUGUCAAUUAUGAGUAAAGGUGAUUUAAACGCAGAUGUGCAGGUUUCUGUGUGGACAUAAGGUUUCACCUCCUUUGGGUAAAUAGUAACAAGUGCAAUUGCUAGAUCACAUGGUAAGGAUAUGUUUCAUUUUAUAAGAAACUUACAAACUAUCUUCCAAAGUGGUGGCACCAUUUUGCAUUCCCACUAACAAAGUAUGAGAAUCCUUUUGCUCCACAUCCUCACCAGUAUUUGGUGUUGUCAGUGUUCUGGAUUUUGGCCAUUCUAAUAGGUGUGUAGUGGUCGUUUUGUUUUACUUUGCAUUUCCCUAAUGAUAUGACGUAGAGUUCUCUUUGUAUAUACUCAUUUGACAUCUGUAUUAUCUUCUUUGGUGAGGUCUGUUAAGCUAGUUGGCCCAUUUUUUUAAUGAGUUAUUUUCUUAUUGUUGAGUUUUAAAGGCUCUUUAUACAUUUUGUAUAAUAGUCCUUUAUCAGCUGUAUUUUUCGCAAAUAUUUCUCCCAGUCUGUGUCUUGUUUUCUCAAUUCUUCUAAGGCCAUUGAUUCUUCAAGUCAGGAACUAGGUCAGAGAGCAGAAAUGGCUCGCUUCUGGUCCACAAGUCUAUGGCCUUAGCUGAAGAGUGGCUCAAAUGGCCGAGAGCUGCAAUCUGAUUCUCCAUUCAUGUACCUGGUACCUGAGCUAGCUGGAGGGCUGGGCUCAGCUGUGACUGUCAAAUGAGAGUAUUUCAAGGAGUCUCCUUAUAGUUACGGGCUUUUCACAGCACACCAGACACAGGUAGUCAGACUUCUUACACGAUGGCUGAGAGUUCCCAAAAUAAGUGUUUCAAUAGGCAAUAUGGAGUUGUAUGGCUUUUUAUGACCUAGCCUCUGAAGUCACAUAUGGUGAUUAUGAUCACUUUCACUAUAUUCCAUUGUAUAAGUCAAUCAUAAGCCCAACCAGAUUUCAGGGGAGGGGACACAAGGUAUACCUUUCUAUGGAAAGGACAUCAAAGAAGUUGUAGUCCUAUUUUAAAACUACCAUAUAGAGAGAUAUAGAGAUAUAUGCCAAAGAGCUAACAGUGCCCACUUCCCAGGGUCCCUCAAAGUGAAUUUUAUUAACUCAUUAUUUUAAGUCAGACUAACCCAAACACAUCUUUCAUGGAUGGCAAAAUUCCAUCUACUUAUUUUCAUAUACUACAGUAACAAACAGAAACUUUGUUUUAUCUAUAUAAACUGCAUCCAGAAUGACUAAUAUCUUACUUUUGGCCGUAUACCAUCUGCCAGUUACAACCAUUUCUUAUUUUCCAAACACUGAGAAGUUCAGAUCCACCCUCAGGCUUAGGCUAAGUCAUAUCCAGAAAGAAUACAGAGAAUACCUAUAGCAAGUAAAGCAAGUAGAUUUGGAUCAUUUCAGCAUUAUGAUUGCUGAAAUUGGUGGCCAUUGUCUAUAUCAGUGAUUGCUAGACUUUAGGAUUUCAUGAACCAAGAAAAAUUUCAGAAAUAAAAUAAACCAGAUGGGGGCAAAUAUAGUUACCAACAUUUUAUUUUCCUAGGAAAAAUAUUUAGAAAACAACUGCUCUAUAGCUAUCAUCACAUAAAAGAAUGGACAAUUUCAAAAUAAAGCACAAUCCUUAAGAGUAAGUCUUACUAAAUGAAAACUCACUAUAUAUUUUUUUUCUCAUUUCUCUGCUAAUCUGCAGAAACUUCCCCAUAGUUGAACCCCAGUUCACAAACUGGUAUGUAAAACCACUUGUGCAUCUGACAUUCUGGUCUCUUCCAUCUCUUGAUUUAUUCUAAUAGUUCUAGAACUUUAGCUUGCUCCUAGGAACAUGGGUCUAAAAGACAUACAAAUAAGUAAUUAUAAUACAGCAUGAAUGCUGUAAGGAUACAGGGGGAAAUGUCACAGAAGGUUUCAUCCACUGAGUGAAAAAAGUUUGCUCAUGUGCAAGAAUGAGGAAGACUAUUAAAGGUGGCAACGACUAUGGCUGAAAGCACAGAGGCCAUCUGUGUGUGCGGUAUAUCCAAGGAAGAUAUAUAUACUGUGUCCCAAAAAAGUAAGUAGUGGUUAUACUUGGUUGUAGAAUAAGGGUUACUUUUCUUCAUUCUUCUAUUUUCUGAAAUUUAACAAUGGAAUAUGCAUUAAUUUAAUGGCCAGGAAAUAAACAACUAUCGUAAUUUUGUAGACUACCCUAGGAAGAAAAAACAAAAGGCCUAUUUCCCUUUAAGAAAGCAGUUCAUAUUAAAAGAAGCCAGGUUGGAAAACGGAGAUGUUAAGGACUUGGAAGAUGGGUGCAGAAAUCCAGCUCCAGGAUCUGGCUAGGACAGAUGACAAGGGGAAGAUAACACUCCCUCAGUGCCUCUGUGAGAAUUCUAAGCUGGCUGCACUCAAUACUCAGGUCUUCUUGUCCACGGAGUCAUUAGUCAGAAAUUCUCAGGUGGCAGGUGCUGACAGGUCACUGCUUAGCAGUGCUUCUGGAGUCAAGGCACCAAGGUCAGAAUUCCGGCUCUAGCACUAAGUAGCUCAAAGAGCAAAAGCAAAUGACCAAACCACUUGAACCUGUUUCCUCAUCUGUAACGUGGAAAACUGCCUGCCUUUCUGGAUUUUGGUACAGAUCAAC
rnacentral:lncRNA from 1 species